rnacentral:rRNA from 2 species
AGUCAUGGUUAAGUGGGAAACGAUGUGGGAAGGCCCAGACAGCCAGGAUGUUGGCUUAGAAGCAGCCAUCAUUUAAAGAAAGCGUAAUAGCUCACUGGUCGAGUCGGCCUGCGCGGAAGAUGUAACGGGGCUAAACCAUGCACCGAAGCUGCGGCAGCGACGCUUAUGCGUUGUUGGGUAGGGGAGCGUUCUGUAAGCCUGUGAAGGUGUGCUGUGAGGUAUGCUGGAGGUAUCAGAAGUGCGAAUGCUGACAUAAGUAACGAUAAAGCGGGUGAAAAGCCCGCUCGCCGGAAGACCAAGGGUUCCUGUCCAACGUUAAUCGGGGCAGGGUGAGUCGACCCCUAAGGCGAGGCCGAAAGGCGUAGUCGAUGGGAAACAGGUUAAUAUUCCUGUACUUGGUGUUACUGCGAAGGGGGGACGGAGAAGGCUAUGUUGGCCGGGCGACGGUUGUCCCGGUUUAAGCGUGUAGGCUGGUUUUCCAGGCAAAUCCGGAAAAUCAAGGCCGAGGCGUGAUGACGAGGCACUACGGUGCUGAAGCAACAAAUGCCCUGCUUCCAGGAAAAGCCUCUAAGCAUCAGGUAACAUCAAAUCGUACCCCAAACCGACACAGGUGGUCAGGUAGAGAAUACCAAGGCGCUUGAGAGAACUCGGGUGAAGGAACUAGGCAAAAUGGUGCCGUAACUUCGGGAGAAGGCACGCUGAUACGUAGGUGAAGCGACUUGCUCGUGGAGCUGAAAUCAGUCGAAGAUACCAGCUGGCUGCAACUGUUUAUUAAAAACACAGCACUGUGCAAACACGAAAGUGGACGUAUACGGUGUGACGCCUGCCCGGUGCCGGAAGGUUAAUUGAUGGGGUUAGCGCAAGCGAAGCUCUUGAUCGAAGCCCCGGUAAACGGCGGCCGUAACUAUAACGGUCCUAAGGUAGCGAAAUUCCUUGUCGGGUAAGUUCCGACCUGCACGAAUGGCGUAAUGAUGGCCAGGCUGUCUCCACCCGAGACUCAGUGAAAUUGAACUCGCUGUGAAGAUGCAGUGUACCCGCGGCAAGACGGAAAGACCCCGUGAACCUUUACUAUAGCUUGACACUGAACAUUGAGCCUUGAUGUGUAGGAUAGGUGGGAGGCUUUGAAGUGUGGACGCCAGUCUGCAUGGAGCCGACCUUGAAAUACCACCCUUUAAUGUUUGAUGUUCUAACGUGGACCCGUGAUCCGGGUUGCGGACAGUGUCUGGUGGGUAGUUUGACUGGGGCGGUCUCCUCCUAAAGAGUAACGGAGGAGCACGAAGGUUGGCUAAUCCUGGUCGGACAUCAGGAGGUUAGUGCAAUGGCAUAAGCCAGCUUGACUGCGAGCGUGACGGCGCGAGCAGGUGCGAAAGCAGGUCAUAGUGAUCCGGUGGUUCUGAAUGGAAGGGCCAUCGCUCAACGGAUAAAAGGUACUCCGGGGAUAACAGGCUGAUACCGCCCAAGAGUUCAUAUCGACGGCGGUGUUUGGCACCUCGAUGUCGGCUCAUCACAUCCUGGGGCUGAAGUAGGUCCCAAGGGUAUGGCUGUUCGCCAUUUAAAGUGGUACGCGAGCUGGGUUUAGAACGUCGUGAGACAGUUCGGUCCCUAUCUGCCGUGGGCGCUGGAGAACUGAGGGGGGCUGCUCCUAGUACGAGAGGACCGGAGUGGACGCAUCACUGGUGUUCGGGUUGUCAUGCCAAUGGCACUGCCCGGUAGCUAAAUGCGGAAGAGAUAAGUGCUGAAAGCAUCUAAGCACGAAACUUGCCCCGAGAUGAGUUCUCCCUGACCCUUUAAGGGUCCUGAAGGAACGUUGAAGACGACGACGUUGAUAGGCCGGGUGUGUAAGCGCAGCGAUGCGUUGAGCUAACCGGUACUAAUGAACCGUGAGGCUUAACCUUACAACGCCGAAG